UCAUGAUUGGAGGGGGUCCUGUCUAAAUAGUGUAUAGAAAAAAACACAAUAAGUGUCCAAAGUUUGAGGUUAUUUCAAGCUAAAAGAAAACAACAACUCUGUAAUGUUGCAGUCGGUCUACCGUAAAACAAAACUAGGGUAGCCUACUGCAGCAGCACGACAGAAAUGCUUCAGUAUCUGAUCAGAAAGCACCAAGCAUCAAGGUAUCUAGCAUCAAGUCCAUGGAGUAGAACCCAAGCAAGUGUUUCUCACCAAAACACCUGUAUCCUCGAGGCCCUCGUGAAAUCUGAUCCAGUGAGUUGGAUUAAAGUAAGUAAAG